UUGGACUCGCAUAUGUAACCGCGUAUAAAGAAGUAUACGUGACGUAUCUGAGCGUGAGAACAACAAACAAUCAACGUGUUUAUGUUGAUAACAAAAAAGCUUGUAGAGUAUACAUGGUUUGGAGUUAACAGCUUAUUAAGGAAGAAUAAAAGAUUUCAAGAGUACUAGCUUACAUGGCUUGGAGCCAAUAACUUUAAUAAGGGAGAGAGAAAAGAGCACCUGGCAAAUAACAUGCAACUUCAUUUUUACUUUCUACAACAUUCCACCUGUUGAUUUCCAAUUAUUCGGUGCAAGUCAACGUUCAUUUUAGCAAAAACAGCUAAAAUUUGGAUUGAAGAAUAACGGUACUCUCUAUGUCCUACAAAAUACAAAAUUGUAAGGUUUUCUGUCUUUGAAUAAAGCUAAUGACUAUAUAUUAAUGAAGUGUGAUAUUUAACAUCCUAAUAAUUAUAACUGAUUAUUGCAGUUUAGUGAAAUUUGUUAUUAUGACUGAUCAUAGUAUUACUGAACUUUGAUAAAAUUACUGUAAUAAUGUCACAAUGUAACAUAAAAUAAAUAAUUUCAAUUUU